CAAGUCGAGCGAGGCCAGGGGGGCAACUCCCUGAGUCGAGCGGCGGACGGGUGAGUAACACGUGGGUAACCUACCCGGAAGUGGGGAAUACCUCGGGGAAACUCGAGCUAAUACCGCAUGACAUCUUUGGGACGAAAGUCCUGACGAUCAAAGCGGGGUCGCAAGAUCUCGCGCUACCGGAUGGGCCCGCGCCCGAUUAGCUAGUUGGUGAGGUAACGGCUCACCAAGGCAACGAUCGGUAACCGGCCUGAGAGGGCGAUCGGUCACACCGGAACUGAGACACGGUCCGGACUCCUACGGGAGGCAGCAGUGGGGAAUCUUGCGCAAUGGGCGAAAGCCUGACGCAGCAACGCCGCGUGGAGGAUGAAGGCCCUUGGGUUGUAAACUCCUGUCGGCUGGGAAGAAAUCGUUCGCGGCUAAUACCCGCGGACGUUGACUGUACCAGCAAAGGAAGCCCCGGCUAACUCUGUGCCAGCAGCCGCGGUAAUACAGAGGGGGCCAGCGUUAUUCGGAAUUAUUGGGCGUAAAGGGCGCGUAGGCGGCCACGCGUGUCUUCCGUGAAAUCCCUCGGCUCAACCGAGGACGUGCGGAAGAAACUGCGAGGCUCGAGUCCAGAAGAGGGGGGCGGAAUUCCCAGUGUAGCGGUGAAAUGCGUAGAUAUUGGGAGGAACACCGGUGGCGAAGGCGGCCCCCUGGGCUGGUACUGACGCUGAUGCGCGAAAGCGUGGGUAGCAAACGGGAUUAGAUACCCCGGUAGUCCACGCCGUAAACGAUGGGCACUUGGUGUCGCGGGUAUCGACCCC
rnacentral:rRNA from 1 species